GCCUCCAAUUGCAAGGCUGACAGAAAACUUGCCCUUAAACAAAUCCAUGGAGUUUAAUAGCUACUGUAGAGACUGCAAUUGGAUGCAAAUUUUGGGGCUGGCUUUUCACAGAUGACACAGCAAGCCCUAGGUCAGAUGUAUGCCCAGUUCACAUGAGUCAGGAGAAGAGUGGGAGAGGAAAUUUGUUACAUCGCAAUCGCAAAAGGUUGGGAGAAAAAUUAUUACUGAUGUUUUUAGGAACGGGCUUCCCAGAGCACCUAAUCUCAAGAGACCACCUUGAACACUGCUUGGAAGGAAGGAAGCAUUGAAGACAGCCUACUGCAAAAGAACUGGCUUCCUCAUCCUACUUUGUCAAGAGUUCUCUGAAAAAGGAAAUGAAGACUUCAAGGUUCCAGGCUUCACAAGUCCUUUAGAAACAGAAAUGGCUCACAAAAGGAAGCAGAUACCCAUGCAUUUUGGAGGUCAGCUUCCUUUACAAGGGCACAGAGAAGGGAACUGGCUUGUUGUGUUGUCAGAAGGUGAUGCUGGCAGAAGCGCUGGCUGUGUGUGGCUGUCCACCUCUCUUACCCUGGGAGCAGAUCCAGAGAUCAUACAGUGGGAAAAGCUUAAUGCAUUUUCACGUGAAAUAUAACCACCUUAGGAAGUGGGCCAGGGUCCUGCAAGGAUAUCCCAGCAUCUCAGUGCCAGGUAUUUCAGCUUGCUGUUGCUGUAGGUCGAGCACACAAGAAUGGGAGAAUGGGCAGACAGGCAGUGUGGGACGUUCAGCUACAGCUCAGGAAAUUUCCUGAGGCUGCUAGACGGGAGGUGCAGGUCAAGUGUGUUUAGGGGUGAGUGGGUGGUGUGAAUCCCCCUCUUCUGAAGAGUUUUCCCAUGACCAAACUUGGCACAGGCCAGGCUAAGUAGGCUUCAUGCAGCUUAGGGGAGGUUUUGUUUGCUUUCUUGUUUGCUGGAGCAAGGCUUCUCAGAGGGGCUGCUACAAGAAGUCAGGUUGGUGUUUUAACUCGAAUCCAGAAGCAUCAGCCCUGACGCAGGUUUUAGUGGAAAGUUCUCCUCUUAGAAAAACUGAAAUAAGAGGCUGGUUUCGCUUUGUGUACUGCUUGGGCCAGGCAGCUAUCGUUACUGACAUUCAGUCCUUGGUUCAACACGCACUUAUACCUCUAGCUCAGAAACUGCAUGUCCUUUUCCCAUGCAGAGAGGAAAAAGGCAGCUCAGGUCCUCCAGCACUGCAUGCAUGGUGAGCAGCACAGCCCCUUGCUGGCAGCUGUUCGGUGCUGCUCAGCGUGGGCUGCCUCUUGCUCAACACCUAGGCAGUUCCAGCUGCAGACAAACAGGGUUGUGAAGCACAGUGCUCACACAGCUCUUCCCUCCUUCCUUGUGAAACUCCCUCCUCCAAGCUACUGAAAUCCUGGGAUAAUAAUUAACUGAGUUAAAACUUGCUCUUUAAUCACAGUCAUGUGCACAUUGCUGGGUGCGUUCAAGUUAGAAAUGUUUGCAUUUUAGGGCUCUUUCUGCAUAAUGAUCUUGCAGCACUUUGCAUACAUUCACUCAUUUGUUUUCACGUUUUGCUUUGUGUUUUAUUUUUGGUUGGAGGGAUGACAAGCUUCUUUUCAGGUUGUCCCUUGAAAGACACACAGGAAAAUUAAUCUCAUUACCUUAAACUGGGAAUAUAAAAAGGAUUUAAAUUGAAGGUGUGCUCCUUCCAAGCAAGAGCACUAACCCCCAGGUUAAGCUCACUAAAUAGGCAGGGCAUUAUGGGGCAGGAGGUGGGACCAGCGUGGGAACCAGUCUGCCCGGAGAGGUGGCAAGACCAUCAUGGCCAUGGCCAGUGGUGUUCAGGUCCGAGGCUGUGUGAUCACUGCUGGGAAAAGUGACAGAGCCCAUCUCAGCUGCUUGUGAUGGCUCUAAAGCAGUGACAUCACAGAAAAGAUUGAGCGGGGAAAAACCCAUCUUUCUUCUGAUCCAGACUGGAAAAUCCUGUUUGGAUAACUGGACAAGUAGAUGGCCUUGGGAAAAGCUGAGAGCUGGAGUGAGGGGGAGGGAGGAAAGUCAGACCUCCAGAGAAGGGGUGGUUCUGUUUCAAGCCCUGAACUUUGGUUUCUUAUACUAUGGCCUGAUAAAUGUAGCAGUGUUUAAGCCUUUUGGCUCCGAUGUGAAGGCUUCAGGGAGCUGUGGCUGGCUCUUGGAGAUGCGGAGAGGCUGUGCAGCCUCUCCUCCUGUCCCAGAUAAAUAAACUGAAGCUGUGGGGCAAAGCCAGCAGCUGUUUUUUAAACAGAUUAAGGAUCUUAGUAUCCUCUCUGCCUUUUAGUGCAUUGAGCCCUGCUGGGGCAGGCAGACAGCAGGGCCCACCAGCUGCAUGUGGGGCCAGUUUAUUGCUAAACCUUGUGCCUCGGCCCUGUCUGGACCAAUAGUUCUUCUGUGCUAUGUCUGGCAUGUUAAAUACCAAAGAGUCAACAGGGAGCCACUUCCUAAUGCUGAAGGUCUGCAGGAGGUGAAGAGCAAGAGUUAAACCUCACCCUGUAGGCAUUAAAUCCUGCAGAGUAGGGUUAAAUCUGCACUGUAGGAGUUAAAUCUCAAAGUGCAGGCCCCUCAUGCUGGGAGUUGCCCAACACGUGGGCUGCCCGUCCUAACUCUCCUUGGUGAGGCUAGAGAGGCUGAGGUGAGACACCAGCACCUUCACAAUUUCUACAGUGAACUAAAGAGAAGGGUUCUCAAUGUACUGGGGAGUAAGAAAGGCCUGCAGGGAGCUGGGGUUCUAAGAGGAAGAGGAGGGUGGGGGGAAAUAGAGUUCAGCUCUGUGUGUGCAAUAUAAGGAAGUAUGGGAAUAUCCCUGAGGAGAUUUACAGUUAUGAGCAAAGGGCACAGGCUGGACGCAAAAAUGCUAGCUCAUGCAGUACAGUGUAUGAAAGCGGAUGACUGAAUAAGCUCAUGGGGAAGCUGGUGCAGGAGAACAGGAGGGACCCAAGGGAAGGGCUCAGUCUGGAAAGCAGAAAAGAGCAGGAAAAUAUUGGUCAUGCUGCUGGGUGGGAGCAGAAGAGGGGAGGACAAAGGUGCUGUGAAGAGGAGGUGGACUAAUGGAGAGAACUGACCCUGCUAAUAACAGUAGGUGUGACUACAUUAGGAGAAAAUACUGAGAGAAUUCCUAAGGAAUCAGAAAAAUGUACUGCUGUGUGCUUGUCCUGGCUCUGAGGAACAGCGGGGAUGAGGGACCCCGUGGUGGAAAAUCCCCAGCAGCUCCAGGGAAACAAUGUCCAUGGUGUGAAGGCAGCUGAAGCUGCACUCCCAGGAGGAAAUAGAGUUGUGAUACCACAGGAUAAAAAGGAAGGAGAAUGUGCAACGAGGAUCAGUCUGUAGUCAGGGGCAUUUCAAAGGAAGUUAUCCAAUCACUUCCUCAUGCCACUUGUAGGUGGACUGGGGCAAUCUUGUCACAAGGUGCUUCUGGAUGUUGGAGGGGUGCAGCAACUUCAGAAGUUUAUAAGUUCCGUGGAAUCAAGAACUAUCUCACAGAAAUAGGCCGCCUUGAUCUCUGGCAGUCUUUAAACCGCAGGUUGCUGAAGUUAGGAGACUGCUCGGUAUCGCUAGAUAGUUGCUGUCUUUGUAUGCUUUUCUGUAGCGCUUGCUCCCAGCCACUGCCAGAGUCAGGAAACUGAAACUAAACUGAAUGGGACCCCGAUCUGCAGGUGGAAUGGAUGCUCUUGAACUCUUUAAAGAUUGCUGAGCCUCGUAGUGCCCUAUUCAAGUUGUUCAAGGCACUGGAAGAGAGUUUUAGGCCAAUGUGGAGAGGCACUGGCAGGAGGGAGCAGACAAGCUGAGCUGUUCUGCUAAGAGCAGCCAUGGUGGCAGAAUAAGAACCAAGUGAUGCUGGCAGAAUGAACGAAUGCCCAAGGAGCCUUCUCUCCCAGUCUCACUAAUGAGACAUGUCUACAAGAGUGCCAGGAAGGAUGCGGAAGGUUAUCAACAAAACCAGUCUCAAAAGAUCUUUCCAAAGGCACAGGUAUGCCAAAGAGACAGUGCAGAUAAGCAGCAGCUAAAGGUGUGUGUCAGAAUCUGCAUUUUUGGGAGGUGGGAGGUGGCUUAUAAUGGACAAUCUUCACUACUUCACUUCAGCACGAACGAGUUACAUCAUCAAGUGAAAAGGCAAAACACUGCACUAGCAACGUACCCUGUGGAGUGGCUGCAAAUACACAACAUGCCCAAAGCUAGUUUGCAAACAAACAAGUAUUCUCACGUUACUCUCUGUCCUAUUUGCUUUAACUGCAUUUCCUGCAUUUUCACUACUCUGUUACUUUUGCAUGACUGAUGAAGGCAAACAGUAGCAUAACCAGUGUGCAGUAUCUUGGUAAUGUUUUAGUCAGCUGCAGAACUUCCUUGUACAGCAGUACAGCAUUUGCUUCAUUUAUUAAGUCAUUAUAGACUCUCAUGAUGUUAUAUUGUUUGUCUAAAUGUUGCAAUGGGCACCAGGGAACGUAUGACUGCCUCUGAAUGUACUCAACCAGCCCGAUACUCCUGAUAACUACACUUUCCUCCCUCUCUCCAGCCUUUGAGUAAAAAAUAUUUGUAUUCA